rnacentral:rRNA from 1 species
UACGAAGGGGGCUAGCGUUGCUCGGAAUUACUGGGCGUAAAGGGCGCGUAGGCGGAUAUCUAAGUUGGGGGUGAAAUCCCGGGGCUCAACCUCGGAAUUGCCUUCAAAACUGGGUAUCUUGAGUUCGGGAGAGGUGAGUGGAACUCCGAGUGUAGAGGUGAAAUUCGUAGAUAUUCGGAAGAACACCAGUGGCGAAGGCGGCUCGCUGGGCCGGUCCUGACGCUGAGACGCGAGGGCGUGGGGAGCGAACGGG